AACGAACGCUGGCGGCAGGCUUAACACAUGCAAGUCGAACGCACCUUCCGGGGUGAGUGGCAGAUGGGUGUGUAACGCGUGGGAAUCUACCCUUCUCUACGGGAUAGCUCUGGGACACUGGAAUUAAUACCGUAUACGUCCUGAGGGAGAAUGAUUUUUCGGGGAAGGUUGAGCACGCGUUGGAUUAGCUAGUUGGUGGGGUAAUGGCCUACCAGGGCGACGAUCCAUAGCUGGUCAAAGAGACUGAUCAGCCACAUUGAGACUAAGACGCGGCCCAGACUCCUACGGGAUGCGGCAGUGGGUAAUAUAGGACAAUGGGGUCAGGCCUGAACCAGCCAGGCCGGGAAAGUUAUGUAGGCCGUAAGGAAGUAAAGCUCUUUCAGUGGUGACGAUAAUGACGGUACCCACAGAAGAAGCCCCGGCUAACUUCGUG
rnacentral:rRNA from 1 species